rnacentral:rRNA from 1 species
CACAUCCAAGGAAGGCAGCAGGCGCGCAAAUUACCCACUCCCGGCACGGGGAGGUAGUGACGAAAAAUAACAAUACGGGACUCUUUUGAGACCCCGUAAUUGGAAUGAGUACACUCUAAAUCCUUUAACGAGGAUCUAUUGGAGGGCAAGUCUGGUGCCAGCAGCCGCGGUAAUUCCAGCUCCAAUAGCGUAUAUUAAAGUUGUUGCGGUUAAAAAGCUCGUAGUUGGAUCUCAGUUCCAGACGGGCGGUCCGCCUAACGGUGGUUACUGCCUGGCCUGAACAGCCAGCCGGUUUCCCUAGAUGAUCUUCACCGGUUGUCUUGGGUGACCGGCACGUUUACUUUGAAAAAAUUAGAGUGCUCAAAGCAGGCGUGUAGCCUGAAUAAUGGUGCAUGGAAUAAUGGAAUAGGACUUCGUUUCUAUUUUGUUGGUUUUCGGAACACGAGGUAAUGAUUAAGAGGGACAGACGGGGGCAUUCGUAUUGCGAC